rnacentral:lncRNA from 1 species
AAAAACAAAGUCAAAGUACUAGAAUAAGAGUUAAGAAACAAAUCCGGAACGAGCAUCCAAAGUUACGCCUACUUCGAAGAAUUACAAAAGUAAAAGCUAUGAAAUUCGAUCUUGAUCUUCUCCGUAGCCGUCACGUGCUCCUUGGAAUGUUUCUAGGUUAUGUUUUUAGUCCCCCAAAGCCUUUCUUAAACUUCCCCAGCGAUCGGGCCUUGAAACGGAUCAGAAACAGGAAAACGGGCUUAAAUUCGCUGCCAGUUUGGUGCGGGUGCGCCAGAUUUGGGGCGGGUGCGCCAACGGGGCAGGUGCGUCAGAUUUGGGGCGGGUGCCCCAAUUCAGCAGCCCACUUCUUUGUUCAUAACUUUUGACUCGCGCAUCCGAUUGCUUCGCCGUUUUUUUUCAAUGAAAGCUAUGAAUCUCCUCUUCGUUCUCCUCCAAAGAAACCUACACAACAUCACACUAAAACAUAUCAAAAACAUCAAAAGCUUGAGGCCAGAUCAUCCAUUUAAGUCAAAACGAAGGCUUCCAAGUGGAUAUAAAAUCCACUUAUCACACCCCCAAACUUAAACCGAUGCUUGUCCUCAAGCAUAGACACACACACAAAUACUAAUAAUGCAAUGCAUGAAUGCAACUAAAUGCCUACAUCUAAGCGAAUCAUGAAGUGUAAUCCUUGUUAACAUAGCAUCCUCAAAAUAUGCAACAUUCUCGGCAUUCAUCUCUUUCACACAUUAGCCAUGUUCUCUUCCACUACUAGUGUGAAGUGCAUCGUGUGUGCUAGCAUGCUCUCUAGUGAAACAAAACAAAGACUAUCAAACUUCAAUAAAGUCCUCACUAUGAGCCGUUAAUAAGAAUCCGGUUUAAACACUUCUUUACUACAGAGUCAACUACAAUUUAGGGUCACCAAAGAAUUCCUAUGCCUCUCCUAUUUUUUCUAUAUUUUUUUUUCUCGCUAAGUCUAAGGUUGGGACGCUUCUCAGUGUAAGUGAGUCACGACCGCCAUUCAACUUCGCUUUUUUUUUCCUCUUUUUUUUAAUCAAGUAAUUCUCCAGUAAUCAAGGGUUGUGAAAAGUCACCAAGAAAUUGCUUAUUCUAAUACAUUUGCACUUAAUACCAGCACAAGUACAUGGAUCGUCCCUUUCACAUGACAUUGCAUUUUACCCAUUGAUCUCAAAGGAGUACCUGAUAAUUUUUUU